UGUUGGUCAGCCGCAGCUUCAAUCAAGAAACCGAAAACCCACAUUGUCCAACCGAUUACAUCUGCGGGUUUAAGAGAUCCUCCACCAUCACUUGCAGCGUUAACAACAGUUAGAGGUAAGCUCACCGUCCAAACCCACACGGCCUGCAAUGGUAAAUCAAGAAGUUAAGUAGUAUGACAACACAUGCAUCAAAUUCCAAAAGCAGAAGUGUACCUGGAGAGUCCAGAAAACUAUUAGUUUCACCAAAUUUCCACGCAUUUCAUCGAAGCGUCGAUCUUCACCCCAUUGCAAAAUCCUAAAACAACAGGUAAGGCCAUGUUAGUAUGAUCAUAGAGGUAAUGAAAUAUUUUUGUGCCUUGGUAGAGACCUCAUUAGAAGGAAUAUCCCCAAGCGAAGUCCCCAUACCACAACAAGCAAAGUCAAGACAAUCUAAGAGGAGAAAAGGGUUUCAAGAAAACAAAAAAUGUAAGAAAAAAAAAACAGAGAGGAAAAUAAGACAAGAGAUGAGACUUACCUGGCGGAAGUGCCAAGUGGCUUUAAGAACAAGAGUCAAAAGAGCAAGUAUAACAAAGUUUGUGCUUCCUGAACAUACAUAAUCAAGAUGAAAACCAAAUCUUGACUCAUAAGUAAACAAAUAUUCAAAGAACAAGAAACCUCUCUUAUAUACAGAACAGUGAGGAAACUGGACCUGCAAAAUCAGUGACUUGAUCGAUUUUGAAAAGAGCGGUGAUUAGGAAGAAUAUAAACUGAUAAACCACCUGAAAAACCAUGACAAAGAGAAUUCAGACAAGAACACAUCAGUAAAACACUAAAUCAGAUAUGAAUAAAGACAACCGAACACGUAAUUUUCCCGAGAAAAGAGAGACAACAUGACAGAGAACUUACAGUAACAAUGGCAGUAAGAGCCAGAAAGUGCGAAUCGAGAACCGUUCCCAUUCUACCCAACGAGAAAAUAACAAAAAAAACAGAGUAUUUUCCCCCAAAAUAAUUCCCUUUUAAAGCUUGGUGCAACAAAAUAAUAAUAAUGGAUCCAAGAGAGACGAGAUGCGUGAUCUUUUCUUAUUUGUUUCCGUCUAUUAGAAAAUCAAGAAAAAAAGAUUAAGCAGACUUGAGAAAAGUCGCCAUUUUUAACGUUCUUGUAUGGCUGAGAGAUUCAGAUAAACUUAUGUGGAUGCAAACUAAACACCGCGCCGUUUUACUUGGUACACCCAAAAAGACAUUAAAAUGUUGACUAAUAAAUGAUUAAUUGAUUAUACGAUACUUGGCUUAUACUCCUUACUUUCUGUAUUCGCCUUGAAAAAUCAAAUAUUUGGUAUUUUUAAAUUGGGUAACAAAUUGACAAAUCUUCUUUUUCAAAAAAGAAAAGAAAACAAAUUGACAAAUCUUAAAUAUCAAAUAUUUGGUAUUGUCAAAUUGGAUAACAAGUGGACAAUUUUAUUACUUCCAUAUACAAGUUAAAUAUCAAAUAAUUUUAUAUACUUUAAUAGUUUCCUUGUUACUUUGACUUGUUGUCUCUAUUAUUUGCUACUCGUUUCAGAAAAUAUUUGUUACUUGUUAAAAAUUAUUUUCUUUUAUUGACAUAACAAAAUAAUUCAGAUAAAAAAUAUUAGAUUUGAUAAAAAUCCAUUAAUAAAAAUAAACAACAAUAGAUAACAAAUAUACUUAUUUUGUACGUGAUCGUAUGUGAUUUUAAUUAUUUUCAAAAUAAUAAAUAUUUUAGAGGAUAAAUAUAUAAUUUUAGCAAAUGAUAAAUCGGAUCAAGUAACUUGCGGGUAUGAUUUAUCUGAGUAUUUGAUAUAGCUAAUAUUUGUCUUAAACGAAUCAAAUCCAAAUUUUAAAUGAGAUUUAUAUGAAGGUCCGAACCAAAUAACAAGCUUCAGAACUUGAUCUAGGAUGCUUUCAAUCCAAACGGUAAAAAUAUUUUCUUACAUGGGCUGUAACUGUAAUUGUAAUUUUCAUCUUAUUAAUAUUUAAAACCAGAGUUCAUUAGUUUUAGGGUUUUAAAUCAGAAUGAUCUCUAUACAUAUUUCAUGUUUAUACUAGGUGUUUUCCUACACCAUGUGCAACGAUAAAAUUUUCAUUUUAAAUUAUAUUUAAAAAUAAAAAUUUGCUAAUAUUUUGAAUUUUAUUGUUUUUAAACCAAUAUUUUAAUAUAAAUACUAAAUACUAAUUUAAUUAAACAUAGAAUUAAGAUAAAAUAAAUAAUUUGAUUUAUUUAAAAUUAUAUUUAAGUUAUAUUUAAAUAUAAAUUUGGAGUUAAUUCUUAGUGGAUUGGACUAUAUAAAUUAAAAUAAUGACAACAGAAAAAACGAAAACCCAGACGGAACAUAAACAAAAAUAAAUGAAACGCAUCGUUUUUGUGAAAGGGGACAAGUGUCGCUUCUAAGAUGCACGACUUUCCACGUGGCAUCACAGGAGGGUCACCAACAUCUUUAUAUAUAUACAUAGAUAUUCUAUAUCGAUUACUUCUCGUCACAAUAAGAUGUAUUAUAGUUUGUGGAUGCUUUAGAACACUAUCAAUAUCACAACAAACUUUAUAUACAUAUAGUCAAUCAUCUAACUUAAACACAUGAUCCAACUUAAACACCUGAUCCAAGUCAUAAAUAAAUAUAACCAAUCACAAACUGAGAUUCGGUUCAAUAUAUCAACCAAAUUCAAUAGCUUACACCAGCAAUCUUUUACUUAACAUCAGAGAGUCUUGUAGGAAUACAAACUCAGACUGAGUUCACAAAUCAGUAAUCUUUCAGUUGAUACUUUCUCUUUUCCGUUCUUGGAGUCUCCUCUAACUUUCUUGCACGUAAAGAUACACCAAAGAGAAAGCCAAACUUAUCAGACACAACAAAGAUGAAGCUGAAAUUUGAAUAGAGAUACUUACGAAACAGCAGCUUCUUCAGGGAGACUUCUGCUGUAAAAUGGAAGCUCUAAGAGAAAAACUGGCUUGCACCAUCCUGGUAAGUUCCCAUACACUCCUCUCGGUAACGGAAUCAGAGGACUAAAGAUGGAUCGAAAACAUAAACAAAUUAGGUAACACUUCUUCAACGAUUUUUUAAAAUGGUAUCAAUAGCAAGGUUCAUAUUGUUAAACCUUGUUGUCUUUUUAUAGAAUCGGUAAGUUCCCAAAUUGCCAUGCUUCUUGUCAGACGAUGCCUGUUUAUAUUGAAAUUAGCCAUGUGCAAUUCAGAAAAUGGUCUUAAGUAGAGAAAGAGAGUGACAGAACCUCGAGUAAUGGUAUGCCGCUGACGAAUAGAAGUAGCAAAGUGAGAAAGAGUGGUCCGAAUAUGACAAGAUACUCAGCACCUUCAAGAACUGGUGAUGCAGCCACAAAUAUUCCCCACCAAAGUAAUAUCUGAUAACAUAUCCCAUUUAUGCAUUACAGUUACCAAUUUAUACUAAAAAAAACUCAAAUAUUUCUUAUAAUAAAUAAAAAAACUAACCUCACCAAAGUAGUUUGGAUGUCUUGAGUACUUCCACACGCCAACAUCACACCAUUUGCCUCUGUUUUCUGGAGAGUUUUUAAAAGAGAGUUUCUGUUGGUCAGCCGCAGCUUCAAUCAAGAAACCGAAAACCCACAUUGUCCAACCGAUUACAUCUGCGGGUUUAAGAGAUCCUCCACCAUCACUUGCAGCGUUAACAACAGUUAGAGGUAAGCUCACCGUCCAAACCCACACGGCCUGCAAUGGUAAAUCAAGAAGUUAAGUAGUAUGACAACACAUGCAUCAAAUUCCAAAAGCAGAAGUGUACCUGGAGAGUCCAGAAAACUAU
rnacentral:lncRNA from 1 species